rnacentral:rRNA from 1 species
CGUGGAACACGGUCUUCCUUCGAGACAGUUACACAGGUGGUGCAUGGCUGUUGUCAGCUCGUGUCGUGAGAUGUUGGGUUAAGUCCCGCAACGAGCGCAACCCCUGUUCCAUGUUGCCAGCAUUAAGUUGGGGACUCAUGGGAGACUGCCGGUGACAAACCGGAGGAAGGUGGGGAUGACGUCAAGUCAUCAUGCCCCUUAUGUCCAGGGCUACACACGUGCUACAUUGGCCGGUACAGAGGGUUGCGAUACCGCGAGGUGGAGCGAAUCCCAAAAAGCCGGUCUCGGUUCGGAUUGGAGGCUGAAAUUCGCCUCCAUGAAGGUGGAGUUGCUAGUAAUCGCGGAUCAGCAACGCCGCGGUGAAUACGUUCCCGGGCCUUGUACACACCGCCCGUCACACCACGAAAGCGGGCAACACCUGAAGCCGGUGUCCUAACCCUUUUGGGAGGGAGCCGUCGAAGGUGGGGCUCGUGAUUGGGGUGAAGUCGUAACAAGGUAGCCGU